rnacentral:tRNA from 1 species
GCCCUCGUAGUUCAACGGAUAGAACAAGACACUUCUAAUGUUUAAAUAGAGGUUCGAUUCCUCUCGAGGGCA